UUUCUAUUCCUUUCUGUGUGUGUCUGCAGCAUCAUUUUAUGACAUACAAACCAGAUUUUGAGUGGGUUCCACCCUGCCUCUGCAGAAUGUUCUAAGGAGCAAGGAUCUGCGGAAACUAGGACAACGCUCCCUCAGUACGAUAUUUGCAUGGGCGCUUCUGAUGCUUCUCAUUUAUUCCUCACGUGCUGAUCUCCAUGGACAUUUACUUUUGCAGCCGACUACCUUAAAACACAUGACAAAUGCUAGUAUGCAGCCUAGAGCCUGGAAACAGGAAUUUAGGCUGAGCCCUGGAUGUGGUGGUGGUGCCUGCCUGCAGACUGUGGCGCCGGCGGCCUGAGAUGACUGUAUGCUUGACUGAAGCAAAACGGAUAGGAAGUCCAAACAAGGAAUCCAUCCGAAGAGCCUGGACUUAAAUGUAGAGGCAAUGCAUAAACAUGCAAAAGGUAAAUGAAAGAUGAAAGCCAAACCAGAGAACAUAAGGUGAUGACACAGAAGCUCUGAUAAUUUCUGGAAGUAUGGAGCUGGAGAUUUCUUGAACUCAUGUAAGCACACACGUGUGUGCACUUGUGUGUUUGUGUGGUUUGUCUCACGUGUCGCCCAUUCUUAUUCUGUUAAAAAAAUGCCAACCAUGUCUCGAAUUCAGGAGAUGAACAGGAUCCAAACUAGAAUACCUGAUUCAUUCUCCAAGGUUUAGUGAGUACAACUAGUGGGAAAGGUUUUUCCUGACAGGCCAUGAAAUUGUUAGUGUGAAUUCAGAACUACCAGCAACAUAUCCUAAUGCAGAUAGCCUUGACUGCUCUAAAAUACAGCUAAAAUAACCUAGGAAGGAAAUCAUAAAAGACUAAUGCAGAGAGAAUCCUGAAGACAUUCAGUUUUCCAGUUCUAUUCAACCUCAGUAUCACCUUUGCCCUUCCUGGAUAUGUGAACCAAUAAAUCUCAUUUUGAACUUGAGCUAGUUUGCAUCGACUUUCUGUCAGGUACUACUAGAGAAUAGUGGCUAUUACAGAGGACU